UACCUGGUUGAGAUGCUUCGCAACUGGUUUAAAAGGUUUCGGAGAUCUGUGAAGUCUACAUCAAGUGGUUGCCAAGAGUAUCAACAGCCACAACCCAAAAAAAGAAAAUCAUUAACUGCUAAGUUCAAGGUCAUACCCCACCUCAACCAGGAGAUGUUCAUUCCUAUAAUCGACACGUUAAGAAGGGUUCGGUAAUGAGUGAUCCUCAGGCUGUGUCAGCAAUUCUUGCAACCCACCCAUUUUUGAGAUGCGUUGAUGAACUCUUCCUUGAAUUUGGUCGAAUUUUGAGGGAAGCUGAUGUGAAGGAGACAAUGUCUGUUGAUUGGAAGACUAGGUGGUCUGGAAGAUCAUUAAUCUUGCAAAGAGAGGGCAGCAUCGUCAUGCCAUAGUGUUCGAUGGACCUGUACUUUUCUCAAAGAGCAUCAGAAGAUUUAUUGUGUGAAGGAGGUCUGUUGUUGCUGGUGUCUUAGUACAGCGAAGAAGGCUAAGUUGUCUCAUGUACUUCAUGUUGCAAAGAAUUCAAGUGAUGUUAAUCAAGAAGCUUCAAAGCAAGAGCAACUGUCCAAUGAUUUUAGCGACUGAUGGUAGUUCAAGAGAGUAUUUUGUUGUCAUUGAGAAGGCUAUACUAGGAGUAGUUAAGGCGCAGCAGAUAUCUGUGGGGCUUUGCUGGCAGCGUUUUACGUUUUUUUUAAUAUUGUGAUCCUGGAAACCUGCCUGGCAAAGCAGUCUUCAGAGAAAACAACAGUUGCCACAAAGUGCCUUCUAAGCACCAUUAUCCACAUGGAGUGCUAGUUUGGACAGAUUAUCAAGAGCUAUGUUGAUAUUGGUGUGAUUGUUAUUUCAGUGUGUCUUGUACCAUGUUCCAAAUGUAUGGUAUGCGUGUCAGUGGUAACAGUAUAUGAGUUGAAUCAAUGUGAAUGUCCCAGUUGAUGAAUAUUUUUAUGAACAUCAGUAGUGCAUUCUAUCAUAUAUUAUACCUGUGAGGACUUCUGUAAACAGGCACCCUAAGAGACAGGUUUUACACUACUGUUGUCUUCACAAAUUGAGAGGAGCUGAUCAGCAUCAAAGAAAGCUAUUACCGCAUGUUCGAGGCUGUUGAUAUAGUGAUGUGAAAUGUGUUUUAGGAAGGUCCUGCGUGUAAUUGAAGUUAGUUAUGGUAAGACUUCAAUGUGCUCUUGUUAGAGAACUCAUAUGGUCUGUUUUAGAAACCAGUGAGUGAUGCAUGCAUCCAUACUGCGACAGCAGCAUUGUAAUGAGUAGCAAACAUCAGGAGGUUUUCCGCUUUCUGGCUUGCUUGGAAUACAACUAACAAUGACCUUGAAGGGACUACUAGUGGUUUUAUGUCAGAAGAUAAUUAGCAAAUGGCCAUUGCUGAUGCCACCACUGGUUAGCAUUUUCGAAGUUUAACUAAACACUAUCAGACAAGGAGUAAUCCUGUCUGUCACGUUCGAUAUACAGUGCUCUUAACUGCAUGUACUGUACCGUGAGACCAGAGAUGACAUCACUUCUGGAACUAAUCUUCCAUCCUGUGAGGACAUCCAUGCAUGAUGAAAGCAAACUCAGUAAGGAGCUAGUGCUUGUCAUAUACUCAAGCCAACCAACUUACAUGAUCUGUCAUAGUGCCAGUUCAGUACUCUUUUGAUGGCUAUAUGACUCCGUUAAGUGUUCUUGGAGCACCAUCUGUGGUACACCAGUAACCCUAGGUGGUUAUGCAAGAGCACCAGAAUAGGACACCUGCCAGAGUACCCUACCCUACAGAGUGUCUACCAAGAACCAGAUUUGGUGCUCUGAGAGCACCUUAGUUUUAGCAGCAUGCUAUGCUCUCUAUUCUACAUGGUACAGAAAACCUUAAUGGAUCCGUCACACAAGCGGAAAUAGAAAGUAGGAAAUCCUACACUAUCCUCCUGCAUUAUUUUAACUUACUGUGUGGUCAAUUGCAAAGUCUCGGAUAUUUUAAAGUUGAAGAUAACGUUCCCUUCAGCUUGGUCGUUCCAAGGACUACCAUGGAAUUGCUCCAACUCAUUGAAGAGCUUUCACCGUGCGGUUGGUGUGCUUUUUGUUUAUCAUCUCUAUGUCUCACUCCGUGCUUUCCUACUUUCCCGCAACGGACUGUAUUAUCUCCGCUAAAAUACAAUCCUUCACAUACUCAAGUGGAUAAAGAGUGCACUUCGUCUCAGAGUAUAUGUAAUCUUGUAAAGUUGCAUUUUUCUGUAUUUGCAAUCAGUGCUGUAAAGCGCGUUUAAUUUAUGAAUCACUUAGUCAUGAAGAACAGCAACAAUUGCAAACUAGG